GGACGAACGCUGGCGGCGUGCCUACUACAUGCAAGUAGAACGCACAGUUUAUACCGUAGCUUGCUACACCAUAGACUGUGAGUUGCGAACGGGUGAGUAACGCGUAGGUAACCUGCCUGGUAGCGGGGGAUAACUAUUGGAAACGAUAGCUAAUACCGCAUAAUAUUAAUUAUUGCAUGAUAAUUAAUUGAAAGGUGCAAUUGCACCACUACCAGAUGGACCUGCGUUGUAUUAGCUAGUAGGUGAGGUAACGGCUCACCUAGGCGACGAUACAUAGCCGACCUGAGAGGGUGAUCGGCCACACUGGGACUGAGACACGGCCCAGACUCCUACGGGAGGCAGCAGUAGGGAAUCUUCGGCAAUGGACGAAAGUCUGACCGAGCAACGCCGCGUGAGUGAAGAAGGUUUUCGGAUCGUAAAGCUCUGUUGUAAGAGAAGAACGGGUGUGAGAGUGGAAAGUUCACACUGUGACGGUAUCUUACCAGAAAGGGACGGCUAACUACGUG
rnacentral:rRNA from 1 species